rnacentral:rRNA from 1 species
CCUACGGGAGGCAGCAGUGGGGAAUAUUGCACAAUGGGCGAAAGCCUGAUGCAGCAACGCCGCGUGAGCGAUGAAGGCCUUCGGGUCGUUAAGCUCUGUCCACAAGGAAGUUAAUGACGGUACUUGAGGCGGAAGCCACGGCUAUCUACGUGCCAGCAGCCGCGGUAAUACGUAGGGGGCUAGCGUUAUCCGGAAUUACUGGGCGUUAAGGGUGCGUAGGUGGUUUCUUAAGUCAGAGGUGAAAGGCUACGGCUAAACCGUAGUAAGCCUUUGAAACUGGGGAACUUGAGUGCAGGAGAGGUGAGUGGAAGUCGUGGUGUAGCGGUGAAAUGCGUAGAUAUUAGGAAGAACACCAGUUGCGAAGGCGGCUCUCUGGACUGUAACUGACACUGAGGCACGAAAGCGUGGGGAGCAAACAGGAUUAGAUACCCGUGUAGUC